UGCCUAAUACAUGCAAGUCGAGCGCACCGUUCGGGUGAGCGGCGGACGGGUUAGUAACGCGUGGGAAUAUGCCCAAAGGUACGGAAUAGCCUCUGGAAACGGAGAGUAAUACCGUAUGUGCCCUUCGGGGGAAAGAUUUAUCGCCUUUGGAUUAGCCCGCGUUGGAUUAGGUAGUUGGUGGGGUAAUGGCCUACCAAGCCUACGAUCCAUAGCUGGUUUGAGAGGAUGAUCAGCAACACUGGGACUGAGACACGGCCCAGACUCCUACGGGAGGCAGCAGUAGGGAAUCUUAGACAAUGGGCGAAAGCCUGAUCUAGCCAUGCCGCGUGAGUGAAGAAGGCCCUAGGGUCGUAAAGCUCUUUCGCCAGGGAUGAUAAUGACAGUACCUGGUAAAGAAACCCCGGCUAACUCCGUGCCAGCAGCCGCGGUAAUACGGAGGGGGUUAGCGUUGUUCGGAAUUACUGGGCGUAAAGCGUACGUAGGCGGAUUAGUCAGUCAGAGGUGAAAUCCCAGGGCUCAACCCUGGAACUGCCUUUGAUACUGCUAGUCUUGAGUUCGAGAGAGGUGAGUGGAAUUCCAAGUGUAGAGGUGAAAUUCGUAGAUAUUUGGAGGAACACCAGUGGCGAAGGCGGCUCACUGGCUCGAUACUGACGCUGAGGUACGAAAGUGUGGGGAGCAAACAGGAUUAGAUACCCUGGUAGUCCACACCGUAAACGAUGAAUGCCAGUCGUCGGGUUGCUUAGCGAUUCCGGUGACACACUAACGGAUUAAGCAUCCGCUGGGGAGUACG
rnacentral:rRNA from 1 species